CUUUGGAGGGCAUGCCCACUUCUGGCGGCUGCGCUUCCAUCUGAUUGUAGCUCACCGGUUGCAGAAUUUUUGCUGACUCCCCCCUGCCCCCCAGUCUGCCAGAACCCGGUGUUUGAUGCAUCGUUAACGCCCGUUAACAGAUCGCUUGUCGGACAGUAUGGUUAGCCAUCACAGCUAACCUUAGCCUCAGGCUCCGUCUGCUCUGCCUGGUCUGGUGUGGUGCUGCACGGUGCGGCUGUCCUGGGUCUGUGCGGCCUGCUGUCCUCUCCAGCCGCUGCCACGGCUGCAACAGCUCAUCGAUCUGCGCUCCGGAGCGGUUGCUGAGAGCUGCUGGUGGUGGUCCCUGGUGUCCUGGUGGUGGUUUCCUCUUUUGAGUGUGUGUGUGCUGUGAACCCCUUUUUUGUUUUUUUGUUUUUUCACAUAUGAUCGGGGUGAUUUUGUUUUCCCUGGAUUCCUCUCACUCCUGACUCACGUCCCCCUACUGGGAAAUUCUUCAGAAGAUGGCCCCUGCAUGUGUUGUCACCCCCACACAAGUGGCAAAAAACUGGGACAACCUAAAACGUAAAUUUAAGGAGUUGAGAUGCUCCACAGCGGGGACGGGGACUGACAGAGGAGAGGCCACAGCAGCCACAUGGCCAUACUUUUCUGCUAUGCAUGAGGCCAUCGAUGGAAGGCCAUCUAUUGAUCCUCCCAUCGUCAUGGACUCAGCAGAAACUUUUGCAAGUGUGGAUGCUGUGGCUCAACAUCAACUGAGGCUGCCCAGAGCCAGGAGACGGUGGAGGAUGAGGAGGCCACGGAGUCUUGCUCGGACAGCCAUUUAGAGGAUGUUGAGCCAGUUGCCCUCUCAGCCAAAACAGGUGCUCCCAGGUCCCGGGUCCUGCAGUUCUUAGAGGACGCAGCA